AUUGAACGCUGGCGGCAGGCCUAACACAUGCAAGUCGGGCGAGCGGCGGACGGGUGAGUAAUGUAUGGGGACCUGUCUGAUGGUGGGGGCUAAUUACUGGAAAAGGUAGCUAAUUCAGCUUACCCUCAUUUGCACACACAUGGGAGUAGCUAGUAGGUGAGGUAAAGGCUCACCAAGGCGUCGAUGUCCAGCGGGUCUGAGAGGCUGAUGAGCCACACGGAGACUGAGACACGGCCCAGACUCCUACGGAGGGCAGCAGGGGGGAGUUGUACGCAAUGGGCGCAAGCCUGAUGCAGCCAUGCCGCGUGUGUGAAGAAGGCCAUAGGGUUGUAAAGUACUGUCGUCGGAGAGGCGUUGCCCACAAAGAAAGCACCGGCUAACUCCGUGCCAGCAGCCGCGGUAAUAC
rnacentral:rRNA from 1 species